CGCGCUUAACACAUGCAAGUCGAACGAGAAAGGGUAGCAAUCCCCGAGUAAAGUGGCGUACGGGUGAGUAACACGUGGGUAAUCUACCUCCUAGUGGGGAAUAACCCUGGGAAACCGGGGCUAAUACCGCAUAAGUCCGGAAGGGGAAAGGCGAAAGUCGCCGGGGGAUGAGCCCGCGGUCGAUUAGCUGGUUGGUGGGGUAAGAGCUCACCAAGGCGACGAUCGGUAGCCGGCCUGAGAGGGCACACGGCCACACUGGCACUGAAACACGGGCCAGACUCCUACGGGAGGCAGCAGUGGGGAAUCUUGCACAAUGGGGGAAACCCUGAUGCAGCGACGCCGCGUGAGCGAUGAAGCCCCUAGGGUUGUAAAGCUCUUUCGGCGGGAACGAUAAUGACGGUACCUGCAGAAGAAGCUGCGGCUAACUACGUGCCAGCAGCCGCGGUAAUACGUAGGCAGCGAGCGUUGUUCGGAAUUAC
rnacentral:rRNA from 1 species